rnacentral:rRNA from 1 species
AUUGAACGCUGGCGGCAGGUCUAACACAUGCAAGUCGAGCGAGCGGCGGACGGGUGAGUAAUGUCUGGGAAACUGCCUGCUGGAGGGGGAUAAAUCCUGGAAACGGUAGCUAAUACCGCAUACCAUCAGAUGUGCCCAGAGGGGAGUAGCUAGUAGGUGGGGUAACGGCUCACCUAGGCGACGAGCCCUAGCUGGUCUGAGAGGAUGACCAGCAACACGGGAACUGAGACACGGUCCCGACUCCUACGGGAGGCAGCAGUGGGGAAUAUUGCACAAUGGGCGCAAGCCUGAGGCAGCCAUGCCGCGUGUGUGAAGAAGGCCGUCGGGUUGUAAAGCACUUUCAGCGGGGAGGCGUUACCCGCAGAAGAAGCACCGGCUAACUCCGUGCCAGCAGCCGCGGUAAUAC